ensembl:lncRNA
UUUACAGGGUUCAUACACUUUUGGACCAAUGGAUUUCCAUGACUUUUCCAUGACUUUUCCAUGACUUUAAACCAAAUUUCCAUGACCAAACAUUUUGUGAAAUCUCGGUGUUAACGUGCAAAAGUGAUAAAAUGUAGUAUUAAAACUAACAAUGGGAAUUCGGAGGCAUACUGUAUACAUUAAAUGACACAAAAUUGAGAGACAAUAGUUUGAUUUAAAGAAUGAACAUUUAUAAAUAUACUGGUUGCAUUCACAGCACUGACAUCAAUAAGAGCUUUAGUAUGCAGAAGCAUCCAGCUAGUGCAAACAUUGAUUUCCCUUUUCUAGUGCAAAAUGUAACGGAACAGUUGGCAACUAACUCUUUGACCAUUAAUCAACCAAAACAAUUUCACAUUUAAACAGCUUUAUAAAACACGAUGUAUUUUGUCUCAACUUCGGCGCCAUCACAUAGCCUCACAUGUAAAUCCAUCUGUUUGGACUGUAAAUAACUAUUCAGGCUUUUGUCGAAGAGAAUGACGUAUGCCCUUUGCUUCAUUACGUUGGACAACGUCAGACUCCUGAAGUGGGGAGCGAGACCGAAAGAGCAGAGGAACGAGCAUUUGCUUUCGCCACAAGCAAACUGUGUUGCUAUCUGGCUAUCGGGGAACAUUCUUUGAAAGAGCAGGCUAGCAUCUUCAGAUGACUUAAACGAAUAAUGCGAAUUAGCCACCUUCAGUGCCCACAUUACCUCCGCAGUAGACCAAAGAGAGAGACGUGCUGUUUGCCGUGGCAGUUGCCCUGGCUGUGGUGCAGCAGCGCUCUGGUGUUUAGCGCCUUUCGCAUGGCUCGUUAAUGCCGCCUCUCCCAUGUUAGAUAUGUCAAACGUUUUGUCACCACAUAACCUACAUUUAGCUCGGCCCGGGUCUUUGUCGGAUGAAACCCAUGACAUAUAUUUCUCAUUUCGCAACUAAGCAUUGUUGAACCUACACUUCCCUGGCAUUUUGAAUAAUUUUGGCUUCCCUCAGAUACUGUUGCUAUGGCCAACAAACGUUUCAGUUGCGUAUGUUUUAGUUUCAGCGCGUGCCUGUUUAUACUUUGAGCGUAUUUCAUUUAAAGGCAUAUUCAUGAUUUAAAACUCAGCGUAAAUGAACGACAAGAAAAUAUGAAUAAAAAAAAUGUCCAUGACUUUUCCAAAACUUUUGGGACUUUAUUUUUUUCAAGCACUUUUCCAGGCCUGGAAAUAACCAUUUUAAAAUUCCAUGACUUUUCCAGGUUUUUCAUGACCGUACGAACCCUGU